rnacentral:lncRNA from 1 species
GAUUUUUUUUUCUUGACCCGGCUGGCCCUGAACAGAAUCAUCACAGAGGCUUUUUGUAGUCAGUCACCGUGUUAUAUUCCUCUACUUUGAGGACAACAAGGAACAAAGGUUGAGAAAACUUCAAUGCUUGGGGCUUACACAGAGUUGAGAGUCGGAGUUCUCCACAGAUGCACACCUUUGAUCCCAGCACUUGGGAGGUGGAUCUCUCUGACUUCGAGGCCAGCCUGGUUUACAGAGCGAGUCCCUUGCGUGUCUCUGAGAGUGUCUGUUGUUUUUCUCUGCAUCCUUUACAAUUCUGCUCUGUUUUCUUUUGAAGUGAAAGGACCCAGUGCUGAAUUCUGAUUUUAAGAUGUCUCCAUUGAGCAAUCCACAAUGAAUCUGAGAUCUUUUUCCUGAGCACUUACAAGUGGAGUAAUUCAGAGCCCAUCAGUGAGUGGAAGCUGCUUCGGUUGUUCCUUCCAGUGAACAUUAGCUUGCACUUGUCUACAUGAAAUUUCAAAGAAUCCUAGAUAUUAAAGAUGGAAGGGGUCAGUUAGCUUACCAAGCCUCCCAACUCUGCCUGCAGAAGCAAGCAGAGGAAGCAAUUUUAUCCCUUCAUACUGCUUUGUUGAUGCUUAUUAAUAAUAAUUACAAUAAAUGGUCACAGCAUG